AGUUGGUGGAGUGAUUUGUCUGGUUAAUUCCGUUAACGAACGAGACCUCAGCCUGCUAAAUAAUAGCGUUAAUGAUCUUUCAUUGGCGGCUGUUUCUUAGAGGGACAUAAAGUAUCAAACUUUAGGAAGAUUGAGGCAAUAACAGGUUAGUUUACACUUGAUUUACCAUUAUCUUAUGCUUCUGGUUCAACCAAAGAUACACCUAUCUUCAAGACCGCAUUAUCUGACUUACUUUUUCCCACUAUUUAUUUCUCUAUUAAUCAUUAGGU
rnacentral:rRNA from 1 species